CCCCUUGGCCGCCGCUGCGGUCGUCGGCUGGCUCGGGGCGGAAAAUGGUGCCGCGGCGGCGCUCCUCUCGGCCUCGGGUGGUGCCGUGCGGGCUGCGGGGUGGCACCUACGUACAGGUACAGUGCGGACGGAGGCUCGGUAGGUGGCUCCCCUGGCUGAGCAUUCAGAUGUGCACCCUUUGCCUGCCUUUAGAUGCAUUUUGGGUCGCACUGUAUGCUACUACAACGUUUUAUAUUUCUGAACAAGAACGUUUUUACCUUGCUUGUUGGGAACCUCAUUGGAGGCCAUCCGAUCCGAGGAGAGCCGCCUGCUUUUCCUAUGCUCUCGGACGACGGCGGUGCGGUGGACGGGGAGGGGCAGGCAGCCGCGCGCUGUUGGACAAACACGGCGGAGGGGAAAGACGGCCGGACGGGUCAGCGAUGGCCCCGUCGCCGACGGAAAUAGCGACGGUCAGCUGACAAGAGGCUCGCCUACAAGGCAGGGGGCGACAAUGGCGGUGGACGAGCAGGGCACAGAGACAACUACUACUACGUCUCUGAACUACUACUCGCGACGGACAAUGGAUCAACCCCACUCUGGACCUUCCGCAUUUCCUUUCUCGGAUUCCUUGCUUGCGGAGUCGAGUGGCGAGACAACCUGAAUUCUACGAAAGCCGAAUUCGGUGCCUUCCUUUUUCCCCAAAUUCCUAACUUGCCGACUUGAGUUGAGGAAGCAACCUGAAAUUUAAGAAAAAAGCGGACGCCGGGUUUCCUGGUGCCCCUGUUUUUGAGUCCUUGCUGCCUCGUGUUUAAAUAAAUUCUAAUGCCUGCAAAUACUCAACAUUCUUGGCUCCAAAGGCAGAAUCAAAACCGACAGCA